rnacentral:ncRNA from 1 species
AAUAACCAAAUAUUAUACUUGGACUCAGGGUUAAGUUGGUAAUUUUUCAUACAUCUCCCCCUCUUGUGGCCCAGGUAUCAUAUACACCUCCAAAAUAAAGGGCCUUGAACACUAGAAAUCUUACAGCU